UACGAAGGGGGCGAGCGUUGUUCGGAUUUACUGGCGUAAAGGGCGCGCAGGCGGUUCUGUUUGUCGAGUGUGAAAGCCCCGGGCUCAACCUGGGAACUGCGCUCGAAACGGCAGAACUAGAGUUCGGGAGAGGAGAGUGGAAUUCCCAGUGUAGAGGUGAAAUGCGUAGAUAUCCGGAAGAACACCGAUGGCGAAGGCAACCACCUGGCCUGUACUGACGCGUGAGGUACGAAAGCGUGGGGAGCAAACAGGG
rnacentral:rRNA from 1 species